CAAAACUCCAAUGAGAAUACGGCCAACUAUUUUAUAUGUACAAUAAGAGCCUAUAUAUCAGUCUGCAGUUCUACGUUUCUGCGAUAUGAAUAUGUCAGUUUCUGUGAUGUGAAGAUGAUGGUCCAAUUAUCUAUCUGCCCCUGUCAUAUUCUGCUGUGUGAAUAUGAGAGUAUCAUUACCAGUCUCUACCUGUCAGCUUUUGCAACGGAGAUCAUCUCAUCCAAAGUCCAUCAAGAGUCACAGAAUUGAUACAGCUAGUCAGCCCAUUGUGUCUGCACUGGGCUGUUGUUCAUCUGUUCUCCAUACUAAUUUCAACUCACUGUUGGGCGUCUGAACAUCAUCCACUCACUGCCAGUAUCUCAAGGAGUCUUUAUCAGUUGCUGCUGGACACUGUAAAAUGUAACACCUACCACUAACUGAAGCGAUUACUGGUUUGUUCUGCAUGUCAUGAUCUGAUACACUGAGUUUUAUGAAGAGAUAGUCAAGAUGAAUGCAGGGUUCUUCAUAGGUUUCUUGAAACAAAUUUUGAAAGACACACGAGUAAGAAGAAAAACUUUCUUCCUGGAAUGAAAAAAACUCCGACAAAAUGAUGAAAUGGAGAAUGGCGUUAUGAUACAGAUGGGGAUGACAACUUCUCUGAUGCCAUGAAAA